rnacentral:rRNA from 1 species
CAGUCGCCGCGGUAAUACGAAGGGGGCUAGCGUUGCUCGGAAUGACUGGGCGUAAAGGGCGCGUAGGCGGUUUUGACAGUCAGAUGUGAAAUUCCUGGGCUUAACCUGGGGGCUGCAUUUGAGACGUCAAGACUAGAGUGUGAGAGAGGGUUGUGGAAUUCCCAGUGUAGAGGUGAAAUUCGUAGAUAUUAGGAAGAACACCGGUGACGAAGGCGGCAACCUGGCUCAUUACUGACGCUGAGGCGCGAAAGCGUGGGGAGCAAACAGGAUUAGAUACCCGAGUAGUCCCUGUCUCUUAUAC